GACGAACGCUGGCGGCGUGCCUAAUACAUGCAAGUCGAGCGGAUGACAGAGGAGCUUGCUCCUCCUGAUUCAGCGGCGGACGGGUGAGUAACACGUGGGCAACCUGCCCUGUAGAUUGGGAUAACUCCGGGAAACCGGGGCUAAUACCGAAUAAUCCUUCGGACCUCAUGGUCCGAUGUUGAAAGACGGUUUCGGCUGUCACUACAGGAUGGGCCCGCGGCGCAUUAGCUAGUUGGUGAGGUAACGGCUCACCAAGGCCACGAUGCGUAGCCGACCUGGGAGGGUGAUCGGCCACACUGGGACUGAGACACGGCCCAGACUCCUACGGGAGGCAGCAGUAGGGAAUCUUCCACAAUGGACGAAAGUCUGAUGGAGCAACGCCGCGUGAGUGAAGAAGGUUCUCGGAUCGUAAAACUCUGUUGUGAGGGAAGAACAAGUACCGGAGUAACUGCCGGUGCCUUGACGGUACCUCAUUAGAAAGCCACGGCUAACUACGUGCCAGCCGCCGCGGUAA
rnacentral:rRNA from 1 species